AUGAAGAUAUCACUGAUUCUACUGCUGCUCACCCUGGGGCUCCUUGUUCAGGGUUCAUCAGGAGACAUCAUCCUGACUCAGUCUCCUGGAUCUCAGUCUGUUGUUCCAGGACAGACUGUCUCUAUCAGAUGUAAAGCCAGUUCAUCUAUCAGUACCUCCAUUCACUGGUAUCUUAAAAAACCUGCAGAAUCUCCCAAACUCUUGAUUCGUUAUGCUACAACCCUUCAGUCUGGAGUUGCAGGUCGAUUCAGUGGAAGUGGAUCUGGAACUGACUUCACUCUGACCAUCAGUGGAAUUCAGACUGAAGAUACAGGAGAUUACUAUUGUCAGCAGUCUAACAGCUUCCCGUUCACACAGUGA